rnacentral:rRNA from 1 species
GACAGAGGGUGCGAACGUUGCUCGGAAUCAUUGGGCGUAAAGCGCGUGUAGGUGGCUUUUUACGUCGGAUGUGAAAGCCCGGGGCUCAACCCCGGCAGUGCAUCCGAAACGGGAGAGCUAGAGUGCUGGAGAGGCGGGUGGAAUUCCCGGUGUAGAGGUGAAAUUCGUAGAUAUCGGGAGGAACACCGGUGGCGAAGGCGGGUCUCUGGGCCGAUACUGACGCUGAGGAGCGAAAGCGUGGGGAGCGAACAGG